rnacentral:rRNA from 1 species
UGUGUAGGUGGACUGGUAAGUACCUUGUGAAAUCCCCCGGCUCAACCGAGGAACUGCUUGGUAUACUGCUGGUCUUGAGCAGCCUAGGGGCGAGCGGAACAAAUGGUGGAGCGGUGAAAUGCGUAGAUAUCAUUUGGAACGCCAAUGGUGAAAACAGCUCGCUGGGGGCUCGCUGACACUGAGACACGAAAGCUAGGGGAGCAAACGGGAUUAGAUACCCCGGUAGUCCUAGCCGUAAACGAUGUCCACUAGAUCGCAGUCUCUUUGACGGGAUUGCGGUCGAAGCAAAAGUGCUAAGUGGACCGCCUGGGAAGUACGGUCGCAAGGCUAAA